ACACAUGCAAGUCGAACGAUGAUGCCCAGCUUGCUGGGUGGAUUAGUGGCGAACGGGUGAGUAACACGUGAGUAACCUGCCCCUGACUCUGGGAUAAGCGUUGGAAACGACGUCUAAUACUGGAUAUGAUCACUGGCCGCAUGGUCUGGUGGUGGAAAGAUUUUUUGGUUGGGGAUGGACUCGCGGCCUAUCAGCUUGUUGGUGAGGUAAUGGCUCACCAAGGCGACGACGGGUAGCCGGCCUGAGAGGGUGACCGGCCACACUGGGACUGAGACACGGCCCAGACUCCUACGGGAGGCAGCAGUGGGGAAUAUUGCACAAUGGGCGAAAGCCUGAUGCAGCAACGCCGCGUGAGGGAUGACGGCCUUCGGGUUGUAAACCUCUUUUAGUAGGGAAGAAGCGAAAGUGACGGUACCUGCAGAAAAAGCACCGGCUAACUACGUGCCAGCAGCCGCGGUAAUACGUAGGGUGCAAGCGUUGUCCGGAAUUAUUGGGCGUAAAGAGCUCGUAGGCGGUUUGUCGCGUCUGCUGUGAAAUCCCGAGGCUCAACCUCGGGCUUGCAGUGGGUACGGGCAGACUAGAGUGCGGUAGGGGAGAUUGGAAUUCCUGGUGUAGCGGUGGAAUGCGCAGAUAUCAGGAGGAACACCGAUGGCGAAGGCAGAUCUCUGGGCCGUAACUGACGCUGAGGAGCGAAAGCAUGGGGAGCGAACAGGAUUAGAUACCCUGGUAGUCCAUGCCGUAAACGUUGGGCGCUAGAUGUAGGGACCUUUCCACGGUUUCUGUGUCGUAGCUAACGCAUUAAGCGCCCCGCCUGGGGAGUACGGCCGCAAGGCUAAAACUCAAAGGAAUUGACGGGGGCCCGCACAAGCGGCGGAGCAUGCGGAUUAAUUCGAUGCAACGCGAAGAACCUUACCAAGGCUUGACAUACACCGGAAACGGCCAGAGAUGGUCGCCCCCUUGUGGUCGGUGUACAGGUGGUGCAUGGUUGUCGUCAGCUCGUGUCGUGAGAUGUUGGGUUAAGUCCCGCAACGAGCGCAACCCUCGUUCUAUGUUGCCAGCGGGUUAUGCCGGGGACUCAUAGGAGACUGCCGGGGUCAACUCGGAGGAAGGUGGGGAUGACGUCAAAUCAUCAUGCCCCUUAUGUCUUGGGCUUCACGCAUGCUACAAUGGCCGGUACAAAGGGCUGCGAUACCGUAAGGUGGAGCGAAUCCCAAAAAGCCGGUCUCAGUUCGGAUUGAGGUCUGCAACUCGACCUCAUGAAGUCGGAGUCGCUAGUAAUCGCAGAUCAGCAACGCUGCGGUGAAUACGUUCCCGGGCCUUGUACACACCGCCCGUCAAGUCAUGAAAGUCGGUAACACCCGAAGCCGGUGGCCUAACCCGUGUGGAAGGAGCCGUCGAAGGUGGGAUCGG
rnacentral:rRNA from 1 species